UGCUGGAGGUAUCAGAAGUGCGAAUGCUGACAUAAGUAACGAUAAAGCGGGUGAAAAGCCCGCUCGCCGGAAGACCAAGGGUUCCUGUCCAACGUUAAUCGGGGCAGGGUGAGUCGACCCCUAAGGCGAGGCCGAAAGGCGUAGUCGAUGGGAAACAGGUUAAUAUUCCUGUACUUGGUGUUACUGCGAAGGGGGGACGGAGAAGGCUAUGUUAGCCGGGCGACGGUUGUCCCGGUUUAAGCAUGUAGGCUGAUUAUCCAGGCAAAUCCGGAUAAUCAAGGCUGAGGUGUGAUGACGAGGCACUACGGUGCUGAAGUAACAAAUGCCCUGCUUCCAGGAAAAGCCUCUAAGCAUCAGGUAACAUCAAAUCGUACCCCAAACCGACACAGGUGGUCAGGUAGAGAAUACCAAGGCGCUUGAGAGAACUCGGGUGAAGGAACUAGGCAAAAUGGUGCCGUAACUUCGGGAGAAGGCACGCUGGUGUGUAGGUGAAGCCCCUGCGGGUGGAGCUGAGACCAGUCGAAGAUACCAGCUGGCUGCAACUGUUUAUUAAAAACACAGCACUGUGCAAACACGAAAGUGGACGUAUACGGUGUGACGCCUGCCCGGUGCCGGAAGGUUAAUUGAUGGGGUUAUCCGUAAGGAGAAGCUCUUGAUCGAAGCCCCGGUAAACGGCGGCCGUAACUAUAACGGUCCUAAGGUAGCGAAAUUCCUUGUCGGGUAAGUUCCGACCUGCACGAAUGGCGUAAUGAUGGCCAGGCUGUCUCCACCCGAGACUCAGUGAAAUUGAACUCGCUGUGAAGAUGCAGUGUACCCGCGGCAAGACGGAAAGACCCCGUGAACCUUUACUAUAGCUUGACACUGAACAUUGAGCCUUGAUGUGUAGGAUAGGUGGGAGGCUUUGAAGCGUGGACGCCAGUCUGCGUGGAGCCAACCUUGAAAUACCACCCUUUAAUGUUUGAUGUUCUAACGUUGGCCCCUGACCGGGGUUGCGGACAGUGUCUGGUGGGUAGUUUGACUGGGGCGGUCUCCUCCCAAAGCGUAACGGAGGAGCACGAAGGUUAGCUAAUCCUGGUCGGACAUCAGGAGGUUAGUGCAAUGGCAUAAGCUAGCUUGACUGCGAGCGUGACGGCGCGAGCAGGUGCGAAAGCAGGUCAUAGUGAUCCGGUGGUUCUGAAUGGAAGGGCCAUCGCUCAACGGAUAAAAGGUACUCCGGGGAUAACAGGCUGAUACCGCCCAAGAGUUCAUAUCGACGGCGGUGUUUGGCACCUCGAUGUCGGCUCAUCACAUCCUGGGGCUGAAGUAGGUCCCAAGGGUAUGGCUGUUCGCCAUUUAAAGUGGUACGCGAGCUGGGUUUAGAACGUCGUGAGACAGUUCGGUCCCUAUCUGCCGUGGGCGCUGGAGAAUUGAGGGGGGCUGCUCCUAGUACGAGAGGACCGGAGUGGACGCAUCACUGGUGUUCGGGUUGUCAUGCCAAUGGCACUGCCCGGUAGCUAAAUGCGGAAGAGAUAAGUGCUGAAAGCAUCUAAGCACGAAACUUGCCCCGAGAUGAGUUCUCCCUGAGACUUUAAGUCUCCUGAAGGAACGUUGAAGACGACGACGUUGAUAGGCCGGGUGUGUAAGCGCAGCGAUGCGUUGAGCUAACCGGUACUAAUGAACCGUGAGGCUUAACCUU
rnacentral:rRNA from 1 species